rnacentral:rRNA from 1 species
CGGGGAAUAAGGGUUCGAUUCCGGAGAGGGAGCCUGAGAAACGGCUACCACAUCCAAGGAAGGCAGCAGGCGCGCAAAUUACCCAAUCCCGACACGGGGAGGUAGUGACAAUACAUAACGAUGCCGGGCCUUUGGUCUGGCAAUUGGAAUGAGUACAAUGUAAACACCUUAACGAGGAACAAUUGGAGGGCAAGUCUGGUGCCAGCAGCCGCGGUAAUUCCAGCUCCAAAAGCGUAUAUUAAAGUUGUUGCAGUUAAAAAGCUCGUAGUUGAAGUUCAACUCCCCUUUCAUUAGGGGAGCCCGCCCUUUUUGGGCAAUUACUUUGAAAAAAUUAGAGUGUUCAAAGCAGUCACUGAAUAUAUUAGCAUGGAAUAAUAAAAUAGGACGCAUGGUCUAUUUUGUUGGUCUGGACCAUCGUAAUGAUUAAUAGGAACGGAUGGGGGCAUAUGUAUUGCACAGUCAGAGGUGAAAUUCUUAGAA